UUUCCGUAGGUGAACCUGCGGAAGGAUCAUUAAAAAAUUGGACUCCAUUGGUGAGUUCAUUAAUAAUCCUACCCUUUGUGAAUUUGUUUGUUUGAAUAAUUUUUUUUCCAAAAGAAAUUAUUGAAUGUCUUUCCCUGUUUUGGUGGAGCUUGUAAAGUGAAACCAGGCAGGGGAAUGGCAAACAAUAAUUAUUUUUGAAAAAGACCUUUUUUAAAAUUAAACUUUUUGUAUUCAUUUGUCUAAAAUUAUUUUUAUAAUAUAAAAACAACUUUUGACAAUGGAUCUCUUGGUUCUCGCAACGAUGAAGAACGCAGCAAAAUGCGAUAAGUAGUGUGAAUUGCAGAAUACGUGAAUCAUCGAAUCUUCGAACGCAUAUUGCACUUUUUUAGUUUACUAAAAAAGUAUGUCUGUUUGAGUAUCAGUAAAAUAUUCUCAUAAAAAAUUUAUUUUUUAUGGUUAUGAGUGUUUUACAACGAUAACAAGUUGUUUCACUUUAAAUUCUUUGUUAUCAAAAGAAUCAUUAAAAGCUAAUUUUAAAGAUUUUUUAAAAUUGGAUAAAAUUUUCCCGUAAAAAGGAAUAACCUAAACAAUUUUAAAAAAUUAAAAUUGGUUUGAUUUUUCUUGAUUUAAAAAGGAAAAAAAAGUAAAAAUUAACUUGAUCUCAAAUCAGAUAAGAGUACCCGCUGAACUUAAGCAUAUCAAUAAGCGGAGGAAAAGAAACUAACUAGGAUUCCCUCAGUAACGGCGAGUGAAGCGGGAAGAGCUCAAAUUUGAAAUCUUCAAGGUUUUACCUUGACGAAUUGUAGUUUAAAGAAGUGUUUUCUGUUGGAGUUUUGGUAAAAGUUCUUUGGAAAAGGACAUCAUAGAGGGUGAGAAUCCCGUAUUUGACCAUUAUCUCCAGCUUUGUGAUACACUUUCAAAGAGUCGGAUUGUUUGGGAAUGCAGUCCAAAAUGGGUGGUAAAUUUCAUCUAAAGCUAAAUACUGGCGAGAGACCGAUAGCGAACAAGUACCGUGAGGGAAAGAUGAAAGGAACUUUGAAAAGAGAGUUAAACAGUACGUGAAAUUGUCAAAAGGGAAGCGUUUGACACCAGUGUUGUUUUCUCGAAAAUCAAUUAAAAAAGGCCGGAUUUUGUGUUGUAUUGACUUUAUCAGCUUUCUGCACUUUUUUCUUGUCUUUUUUAAUGCACUUUUCGUUUAACAAGUCAACAUCAAUUUCUUUUGUUGUAAAAGGGUCAUUGGAAGGUGGCUUUCUUUUCGGAGAAAGUGUUUAUAGCCUUUGGCCUCUGCAAUCGGAGAGAUUGAGGUCUGCAGCGUAGAUCCUUCGGGGUUAGAUACAUUUGUGCUAAGUUAUAGCCUUUCAUAGACAACUUGUUGACUAUGAUCAGUCAUGUAGCUUACUCGCUUAUGCUAUUU
rnacentral:misc_RNA from 1 species